rnacentral:rRNA from 1 species
GCGAGGAUAAUACCCUCGUGCUUUGAUGGUACUGGAAGAAUAAGCACCGGCUAACUACGUGCCAGCAGCCGCGGUAAUACGUAGGGGUGCGAGCGUUAAUCGGAAUUACUGGGGCGUAAAGCGUGCGCAGGCGGUCUUGUAAGACAGUCGUGAAAGCCCCGGGCUUAACCUGGGAACUGCGAUUGUGACUGCAAGGCUAGAGUGUGUCAGAGGGGGGUGGAAUUCCACGUGUAGCAGUGAAAUGCGUAGAGAUGUGGAGGAACACCGAUGGCGAAGGCAGCCCCCUGGGAUAACACUGACGCUCAUGCACGAAAGCGUGGGGAGCAAACAGGAUUAGAUACCCUGGUAGUCCACGCCCUAAACGAUGUCAACUGGUUGUUGGAAGGGUAACCUUUUAGUAACGAAGCUAACGCGUGAAGUUGACCGCCUGGGGAGUACGGUCGCAAGAUUAAAACUCAAAGGAAUUGACGGGGAC